rnacentral:lncRNA from 1 species
AUGGGGUCCUAUGGGGUCUUUUAGGGUCCUAUAGGGUCUUUUAGGGUCUUAUAGGGUCCUAUGGGCUCUUACGGGAUCCUGUGGGGUCCUAUGGGGUUCUAUGGGUCUUUUGGGGUCCAAUGGGGUCUUAUGGGAUCCUCUGGGGUUGUAUGGGGUCUUAUGGGGUCUUAUGGGGUCCUGUCGGGUCUUUUAGGGUCCUAUAGGGUCUUGUAGGAUUUUAUAGGGUUCUAUUGGGUCUUAUAGGGUCCUAUGGGGUCUUAUAGGGUCCUUUGGGGUCUUUUAGGGUUUUAAGGGGUUUUUUAGUGUUUUAUGGGGUCCUAUUGGGCUUUAUGGGGUCCUAUAGAGUGUUUUGGGGUUUUAAGGGAUCUUAUUGGUUCUUAAGGUGUCUUAUAGGGUUUUAUAGGGUUGUAUGGGCUCCUAUGGGGUCUUAUAGGGUCGUAUGUGGCCCUAUGGGAUUUUAUAGGGUCGUAUGGGGUCUUAUAGGGUCGUAUGCUUUUCUAUGGGAUCUUAUGAUGGGGUCUUAUAGGGUCAUAUGCGUUUCUAUGGGAUCUUACAUGGUCUUAUGGGGGUUACAGCUCUUAUGGGGUCUUACAUAGGGUUUUAUGGGGUCUUAUGGGGUCUUAUGGGAUUUUAUGGGAUCGUGCGGGGUUUUGUGGCUCCUUCCGGUAGCACCCAUGGGUGCCGCCACCCUUUUUCCAGGCUUUGGGGAACGCCAAAACCACCCGCAACGACAACAGCAGCCGCUUCGGGAAAUACGUCGAGCUGAGCUUCGAUGGGUGCCAGCGCCUCCUGGGCGCCCACGUCAGCACCUUCCUGCUCGAGAAGUCCAGGGUGGUCUUCCAGGUCAGCACCCAUGGGUGCUGGGGGCACCCAUACACCCCCGAAUCCCAAACGACCCCAUAAAACCCCAUAAAGCCCCAUAAAACCCCAUAGAAAUCUAUAGGAUCCCAUAGGAUCCCAUAAAGCACCCACAUCAGCACCUUCCUGCUCAAGAAGUCCAGGGUGCUCUUCCAGGUCAGCACCCAUGGGUGCUGGGGGCACCCGUACACUCCCGAAUCCCAAACGACCCCAUAAAACCCCAUAAAGCCCCAUAAAACCCCAUAGAAAUCCAUAGGAUCACAUUGGAUCCCAUAGGAAACCCAUAUCAGCACCUUCCUGCUCGAGAAGUCCAGGGUGGUCUUCCAGGUCAGCCCCCAUGGGUGCUGGGGGCACCCAUACACCCUCGAAUCCCAAACGACCCCAUAAAACCCCAUAAAGCCCCAUAAAACCCCAUAAAGCCCCAUAAAACCCCAUAAAGCCCCAUAAAACCCCAUAAAGCCCCAUAAAACCCCAUAAAGCCCCAUAAAACCCCAUAAAGCCCCAUAAAACCCCAUAAAGCCCCAUAAAACCCCAUAAAGCCCCAUAAAACCCCAUAGAACCCCAUAAAACCCAAU